rnacentral:rRNA from 1 species
UGGGGAAUAUUGCGCAAUGGGCGAAAGCCUGACGCAGCGACGCCGCGUGAGGGAUGAAGGUUUUCGGAUCGUAAACCUCUGUCAGAAGGGAAGAAACCGCACUGUGCUAAUCAGCAGUGCCUUGACGGUACCUUCAAAGUAAGCACCGGCUAACUCCGUGCCAGCAGCCGCGGUAAUACGGAGGGUGCAAGCGUUAAUCGGAAUUACUGGGCGUAAAGCGCACGUAGGCUGCUUUGUAAGUCAGGGGUGAAAUCCCACGGCUCAACCGUGGAACUGCCUUUGAUGCUGCUUAGCUUGAAUCCGGGAGAGGGUGGCGGAAUUCCAGGUGUAGGAGUGAAAUCCGUAGAUAUCUGGAGGAACAUCAGUGGCGAAGGCGGCCACCUGGACCGGUAUUGACGCUGAGGUGCGAAAGCGUGGGGAGCAAACAGG